rnacentral:tRNA from 1 species
CGGGGCGUGGCGCAACCUGGAUAGCGCGCUUGCUUGGGGUGCAAGAGGUUGGAGGUUCAAAUCCUCUCGCCCCGA